CUUAGAGGGAGAGUUGAUUUGAUGUUAGUGUGGUGAUAGUGAUGUGCUUUCUCUAGUUUUCCUUACUGGCUUUUAAAUCCAUUGCCUUUCUCAGCCAGGCUUUUCCAGGUUACUCCAUCUUCCUACAGAAUCCUGCAUAAGAUAUGUGAGGCUCUGCCUGCUGGAGUGACCACUGUCCUACAGGAGGGAAAAACUUUUGCAUCUGUUUCUACACUGCUGCCGGUAGGAGCAGUGGUAUGCUCUAUCAGGUGUUUAAUGACUUGGAGGACACGUGAAAUACAUGCAUGUGUGACUUAAAGCCUGAGUGUGGAGUGCAGAAGGAGGCACUGGGGCUCAGCAGCACCCAUCUGUGGCACCCACCGGAGCCAAGAGUCUCAGGGCUCCCAGAGAUGUAAAAUGAACCGGGAUAAGCGGGAAGUCAUGCUGUUACCUUGAUUCUCUGUAUACGAGUAGGUCCUACAACAGAGGAUUGUAUGGACAAACAAAUCUCCACUGAGAAUGAUAUAUGACCGUGGCAAGGUCUUUCUGCUACUCAGCAAGUGAGGAGAGGACAAUGGUAGCUGGCAGCUACUGUUCAGGCUGACGUACUUGACUUAGAUUAGCACUGGGGUAAGAGCAUGCAUUCUGCCAAUUACUAAAGCUCAGCUAACUUGCAGCAAUUUGUGAAGGGGCAGUAACUCAACUGCUUGCAUUGUCUGCUCAGAUGACAGGCUAGCAAAAUGCUCUAAGGCAGUGGCUUCCAACUCUUCAGUACUGUCAGCUCUUGGUGUGUCUCAGAAAACAGCACUUAUUUUUUAUCUUAAGUCUAACAGUUUUGAAUUUUAAAAUGGAGGGGUUUGCCGGUUACUUUCAAAGGUAUCGGAUGGGCAUGACAAAUGGAGGAGCUGCUGCCCCCCAGCAAAUGGUACUGCUGGUGGUUGAAGUGAAAACAGGAACCAAACUGCUCAGCCCUCUCUGGUUUCUGCAAACUCUUCUGUGACCUUUUUUAAGUUACAUAGUGCUGUAAGGCCCCUAUUUUUUCCAAUGAUUUUAGAGGUGUGAGGCAUUGUUCUGAGCAGACAUAAAAGAAACUGGCCUUUGAAGUCCUCCAUCACGGUGAUGAUGUUGUGCACCACAAACUUCCUAUCAGUGCCUUCCAAAGGGUCCUCCUGUGUUAGUUUGGCAGUAACACCUCGAGCCCAGAGCAGGUCCCUUGCUGGACUGGGGUGCAGCAGCUUGGAGUCAGCCCAAGAAAACAGGGGCUUGUCAGCAAAACACAACAAGUUCAUAGCUUCCACGGGGAAUCCGCAUCCGCCACCAACCCUGUGCCUUCAGACCCCUGCCACCUGUUUGUACACCCACAGCUCUUCACCACCCAGCCUGUGAGCCCAGGAGAGGCAGAGGAGCACCAGUGGCAGGACCGAGUGUUUUGCCACGCAGUCGGUGUCAGACAUGGAGCUCCUGGUGCCACAUCAGCCCCUGCAACCUUCCCUGGCCUGUGAGUGACCCAAAUGGGGCGUAAUGACUUCAAGGUGGCAGUGAAAGGCUGAUCCGCGCCCUUACGGUUGGAGGCUUUAAUUUGAUCCCAUUGUGCAUGAAGUGAUGACUCCUGAAAACAACAGUGGCAGCACAAUUAUUUAUGUCCAUCUGUCAGAAGAGUAGAUCAAAGCUAUCUACAGAGCUGCAGACAAAUAUCACCACGGAUGACCCAGAGGCUUCCUUUGUGUGAGGUGACAGACUGGAGCGUGACUUCAUUGGGAAAUCAGUCUUAGAUCCACACAGCAAAGUCAUCCCAGCUAAUGCUGACCCAGAGCUUUUCUUUGCACUCGCUCACAGCUGAGUAGCGACAGGGGUUAGAGACGAUGACGCCAACUUUCCCUGUUUUUGUUUUUCUGGUAAGAGACCUUGUUCAGCACAACAAUAUCGCUUGUGCUCAUCAUUACGUGUGCAAUCUUAAGAUGAUAUCUCAGCAAGUUCAGACGCGAUGGAGACCUUUGAGCUGCGUGGCGUGUUGCAGCCUGGCACUGUGCAGCGAGGCUGUAAGGGAUCAUCUGGGAACCUCACUGUGUGAAGAGUAAGGGGAGCAGCAAUUGCUUUGUGCCCAGCUUAGAGCCAGGCAUGACCAGGUUCCUGCCUCUCAGGUGUCUCAAAGCACAUCCUCACCAAAAUGCUGACACCACUAACUGCCAGCAUCUUCUCAGUAAGGAAGAGCCAAGGAAAUUGAAGAGGAUAGAGGGCAAAUCAACAGAAGAAGAACUUGAAGGUCACUUUUCCUCCUUGCCUUUGCUAGGGUUCUGUGCACACAUACCAUCUGCAAGUCAGGCAAUGAAAAGGUGACUGAUCAUUGGAGUAUCUCUUCCACGUGCUUGGAAAGGUUCCUGUAACUCUCUGAAAAUGAGUGAUGCAGUCACCCCUACAGCCCAAUUUUAUACAUUCAUUAAAUAUCAACAGAGAUGGAUCUGGGCCCUCUGCACUACCCAAAAGCCCAUUCACUCUUUAUAGGUCUUUGUGUACAGGUUAUUCAUGCUUCUAUAAAAUGGAUGAUAUACCAGCCAAAAGUUGAAAGUGUUGAACGUGAUGUGAUGAUCUUUCAUGAUGCUUGGUUCUUCAAAACACAGCCCCAGUGCCCUGCAAGGGAAAGAACGUCCCCAUCUGCAUGUACCAAAAAAUUAAAGAAAAAUUCCAGCUCUCAUUGCUGGAGAGAGGCAAAGAAAAAUGGAGCUUGUGAACUUGAAAGCCUCAGAAACAAGAAUCAAAUCCACCAAACAAGAAGCCUCCCAAGUGAAAACAAGAUCUUGUGCAUGUGAGCAAGCAUCAUGUUUUGGGGCAUGAAUCACAAGAUUUUCUUUUUUUUCCUCUUUUGGCAGGUGUAUAUAAUUACAGUCCCAGGAUCUGUUGAAGUAUUUAGUGAUUUUGGCUCAACUUCAGAUGCCAUGACUUGUGUUAGCCAGUAGGUGUUCUGUGCAUCCUGGAAGAUCAGUGCCUCAAGCUGCAAAUUCAUUCAUGACUUUCUUGAGGAAGUUGACCAGAGAAAAUGUAGAACACAAAAACAAUUAAACUACAUGGGGCAACUCUGUCUUUAAUUUUACCCUUACAAGCAUAAAUGACUGCAAUCUGAGCUGGAACUUGUUGUCUUAUGUCUUUAGUUCAUUGAGUGCAUAAAUAUACACCAUGAGCACUAUUUUUCUGACUGAGCCCUUGAAAUGUGCCAGGGAGCACCAGUAUCUGUGUGCAGCCCUUUGUCUAGUGCCUGGAACCUCAGACCAUAGUCAACAUAACAUCUGAGUGCCUAUGAAGAGAACCAUCUUCUGCCACGUGGUUUCUUCUCCUUGUAUCUUGUGGCUGCGUUGCUGCUUCAGUUGUUAUAUCACGCAAAAUAGACAAGGAAACUUUAAUGCUGAUGUUUGUGUAAGCCCAAUAUUACCAAUGCUAUGCAUACUUGUUUAAAAACCACUGUGUCUAAGAAUUGUCUUUAUGUUCCCCUUGGGCUGAGCUGUGAAGGUGAGACUAUUAACCAAAGGCAUUUGUCAUCAAAGGGCGCUCUGGAGCCAACAGAAUGCAAUGAUUUUCACGAAAAAGCUUUAUUGUCAUUUGUUUGGUUUGCAAGCAGCCAAACCAGCAGCUAUGGAGAUCAUCCCAAGCCUCGCUUACGCUCUUCAGCUCAUCUCAGGGCUUUGUGGGACCCAGAAAUAAAAGCAGGAAGGGUGCUGUGGUUUUGCUGGCUCUAAGUAGCACUUGUCCUGAGGCUGCAUGAGCUCUACCCAUGGGCAGUUGUGCACCCAGGAGAGACACAUCAUGUCUCUAGCAGCCACCCCCUGCACCACCACCCCAUGUUACCCUCCCGCACGGUGAUGCUUCCCACCCCAAGCAGGCACUGCCUGCUUCCCCAGCACCCCAGUGGCACCAGUCGCACCCUCCUGGCUUGAUUCUGUCAGCACAUUCCUGGUCACCUGCCCAGCCAGGAGCGUGUUGCCUGCCCCAAAAGCCAGCUUGCAUCACCCCACGCCAGCAGUGGCGUGGAGAGGCUCUCAGCAAGGUGAAGGGGAGGAUGAGGAUGCCCGCCGACCUUGUAUACACACAGCUGAAGCAAUGGGGAGGUCUCUGAGGAAAGGAAACCUCCAUGGGGCAUCAGACCCAUGAUAGGUAGACCCAGGGAUAGAUAGACCCAGGGCUGGGUACAGCUGCUAUGAGCUGUGACACGAGGCUUGGGGCCUGGGCAGGGAGAAGGGGCUGCCCCUGUUAGCCCCAAUCUCUGCCACUACCCGCUGAUGUGAGCCCCUCCGUUGCCUCUGACAGGGCCCCACGUGUCCUUUCCCCCAAGCUGGCAGUGAAUGCUCAGCUGUUUGGGGACAUCUUGCCACAUCCAUGGGACAUCAGCAUUGUGGCACUGAUCUGGAUGGAGGGCCUGGUGGGGUGGCCACUCCCUGGGGUUGCUGCUGUUGUGGCAAAGUGACGCUUGCUCCCCCUGCACCUCCUGCAUGCCCUGGUCUGCACACGCAUGUGUGCACACCCAUGUGCAUGGACACGUGUACGUGCACACACAUGCACUGCUGCCCCUGCUGAAGCCAUUGGUGUGGUUGCUGUCACAGACCACGUUUAAUUAUGCUGCGGAGCUUGUUACCACAGGAAGCAGCCGAGGCCAAGAAUUAAGUAAGACUUGAGGAAGGGAUUGG